CCUCCGUUUUUCCGCCGUUCUUACUAUUUUUCCCUUUCCUCCCUCCUUACCCAGCCAUUCCUCGUGAAGGUCAGUGCCCUAUGGGCGUUAAACUUCUUUUGUGCGGGAGCAAUAAUGGUCACGUGUGGCCAGACGAGAGUACCGUACGAAUAAGCAUCGGCUAACUCCGUGCCAGCAGCCGCGGUAAUACGGGGGAUGCAAGCGUUAUCCGGAUUUAUUGGGUUUAAAGGGUGCGUAGGCUGUGAGGUAAGUCAGCGGUGAAAUGCCCCCGCUCAACGGGGUGAAGUGCCAUUGAUACUGCCUUGCUGGAGUGCGGGUGCCGUGGGAGGAAUGUGUGGUGUAGCGGUGAAAUGCAUAGAUAUCACGCAGAACACCGAUUGCGAAGGCAUCUCACGAAUCCGCGAUUGACGCUGAUGCACGAAAGCGUGGGUAUCAAACAGGAUUAGAUACCCCUGUAGUC
rnacentral:rRNA from 1 species